CUUUUCUAACAAAUCUCUUUUCUUGAGAACUUCCCAUAACAUACAUCUGCUAUUUCACAUGUUCUUAAACGUGUGUUUGUUUAGCAGAUGGGUUUAUCCCCGGCGGCCUGUGUGAGGUUAAACAAUCAAAUCUUACAAUCCAAAACACUGGAGCCAACUUUAAAUGGGGCCGAGCUUGCAGAAAUGGCCUUCCUCCACACUUCACCGGACCUAAAGAUUGCAUAAUCACGCGAUUUGUGAUUUUGUAAAUUAUAUUUAUUUUAUAGAAAUCGCUUUUUUUUUAUAAUUUCUUUCGUCAAUGGUUGUUGUUCUUUGGGUUACGUUUUGUUUUUGGUUCAUCGCUUGAUAUUUUAUAAAAAGAUUAAGAAAAAACCUUCCUGUUGCUGCUUCUACUUCCAGUAGUUCUUCGAGAUUCCAGGGAAAAUCGUAAUAAACCCAUCAAAACCUUUAACAUAACGUCUUACAACUUAAAGGUUGCGGUGUACCCAAUGUAAAUAUUUAUAGUAAAGUUCAGAGAUCUGCGACCGUCAAAGACUUUCUGUUGCACAUGUGUGUUAAUACAUAAGGAAACAUGUAUGUUAAUAUUGUGAAGAUAUGGAAACGUACGCACACAUGUUUCCAUAUACAGUAAUAUAUCCCCAGACUUUCUAUUAGUCAUACGUUAUCCAUGAACAUCACAAGACCCAACGAUAUCUCCCCAUGAAAUUGUGUGUCCUUAUCUUUAAAGAUGAUUGGGAUGAUCUUUGGAUCACAUGUAUUUAUUCACUGGCCGGGUGUUCGCUGCUAGCUUUGACUGUUUGAAGUUUUAACCAAGAACUCACACAGCAGCGACAAACUUUGCUGUCUGACCUCCUUCAGCUUUUGCCGCCUCUUUGGGAUAAUCUCGGUCAGAAAAGAGACUCUCAAACCAAGUUACAAUUGAUUUUGUCGUGUACGGUAUUUAUGGGUCCUCCUGGAUGUGUCAAAAUAACAGUGUAUCCCUGAAGAAAUGCUGUGUAUAACAUUAGCGCCAUUGUAACGGUUGUUUCAUGGGUAUAAAUCUCAAUCUGUAAUUCAAUCCCAUGAGCUUGGGCAGGGAGCACACACGCAGGGGGAGGAUGAGAAACCAUCGACAGACGUAGAAAUGUUUGUUGUAAAAGGAUAAGAUCAAACAAAAGACCUGUAAAGUCUCUGACAAUGUGCUUUAUAUAAUAUUAAGGUUUGCAUCCCAAUGAGCAUGUGUCCUGUUUGGUUGGAGAGUUAUGGCGCGGCCAUGUUUUUACGGGCCUUCAGGGCCGCCCGUGUCAUCUGUUGAUAAAUAAGUGUGAUUUGAUUUGUUUUCUCACUGAGAGUCAAGGACUUCAGUUUUUUGUUUGCCUUUGAAACUGAAACUUUUUGCCUGUUCACCGUUUGUAUCGCGAUGUCAAUGUGUAUGUUGUUACGAAUCACCUUUUAAUUACUUGUUUUUAUUAAAGAGAGAUGAACAAAUUGAAUCCAAAACACAAUGUUUUAAAGGGUUUGUGUUGUAGUAAACUUCCACAAAACAACAAAACAGAUCAGAAGAUGAUAUCUAUGUUUAAGUAAAACACUGAAGCGCACAGUAAUUGUAAUAAAUACACCAUUAAUAGCACUGCCCACUUGUGUUGUCAUGUUUGUCCAAUUCCUCUACCUCGUUUUUAU
ensembl:lncRNA